AAUAACGUUGUAAUUCAGUGAACGACCACGUAGUAGCGCUAUUGACACGAACGACUGGAUCAUUUGAGAGCACCUUAUUUGGAAGUGCGCACCCUGCUCCUGUGAAUACCUACCCCCGAAGCUACUUCUUCUGUCACAUUAUCAGUUAUAAAUCUGUAUACUUGUGAAAUAUUUUCUAUGAUUAGUUUCUUAUCUCACCCCCCUUGUUUUUUUGUUUGUAGCACUUGUAUACGUACGAAUUAAGCGGGUUACAUAUACACGAGAGUACGUGUGUAAAAAGAAUCCUCACCGAGAAAUUUUUUUCCGAUGACAGCCGAUGCACGCUUUUGGAAAAGAACUCUCCCCACCCCCCAAAUCUCACGCGCUAAUGAGGAUGAUGGAUGCGCGCGCUUCUAAACGCAAUAUGGCACCUCACGGCGCGUAAUAUUUAAACUUUUGAGUCUCCUGCACAUUGAUUUUUUACAUUGUCAUUAAUAUAUUACCAUUAAGCUGGAUUUUUAUGCAUUUACAGGAAAUUUGAAGUUGCAAUUGCACAGAAUGUACAAAAUACGGUAAAAUAUAUAAAUUAUAAUACUUAGUAGGUAAAACAAUUUUCUAACGAGGUUCUACUUUUUUUAUUAUAUUCUGAAAAAUAUGAAUUUGUAUAAAAAUUCGUAGUCUGGUAAUAAGCCACAAUAUAUAGUGAAACCAUCUUCAACCCUAAUUGUAUGUUUAGAACUUACUAUUUAUGCUGUAUACUAGUUUGUAUAUAAAUAUAUGUUUUCAAUAAACGUUAUGUAACUUUUAUAUACA